GGCCAUUAAAGAUUUAACAUUAGGCAGUACAGUUGAGUCUAGGCGAUUUGGCAAUUCUGACUCCUCACUCCUUAGUCCUCACAAAUUCCGGGCAAACGAAGAUGUUGCUGUUGCGAACUUGCCGAUAGUUUCAAUUUUCAAAGGUGUUCUUGGCAUUGGCACAGUGCAAUUGGCUGUUCAGGUGUUCUUGAUAUUACUACUGCAUGUUAGUUACAAUUGCAGCUUGGCAGUGUGUAAAUGUUUGGCAUUAGCAGUGUGUAAAUGUUAGUUACAAUUGCAGCUUGGCAUUGACAGUGUGUAAAUGUUUUGUUGCAUGUUAAUAUUGUCUAAUUCUGAUUUCUGCAUAUGCUUGUUACAUGGCCUCAUGGCAGAUGUUGUUGCUGUGUUGUGUAUGAAGAUGGUUGCAGGCUGCAGCAGAAGUGUUGCAAAAAUUCCAUUUUGACCUUAGUUCCUAACAGUGCUAUAGUAGCAGCAGUUUGUGUUUUUUUUUUAAAUUUUCCCGUUAAUGCAUUUUUUUAUGCGUGGUUAA